rnacentral:rRNA from 1 species
GGCCUAACACAUGCAAGUCGAACGCGAAAGUGGAGCAAUCCAUGAGUAGAGUGGCAAACGGGUGAGUAACACGUGGGUGACCUGCCUUCGAGUGGGGGAUAACGUCCCGAAAGGGACGCUAAUACCGCAUGACAUCCUGCUCUUGGAAGAGCGGAGAUCAAAGCCGGGGAUCGCAAGACCUGGCGCUUGAAGAGGGGCCCGCGCCUGAUUAGCUAGUUGGUAGGGUAACGGCCUACCAAGGCAACGAUCAGUAUCCGGCCUGAGAGGGCGGACGGACACACUGGGACUGAGACACGGCCCAGACUCCUACGGGAGGCAGCAGUGGGGAAUUGUUCGCAAUGGGCGCAAGCCUGACGACGCAACGCCGCGUGGAGGACGAAGAUCUUCGGGUCGUAAACUCCUGUCGAGUGGGAAGAAUGGAUCGGGGAUGAAUAAUCUCCGGUAUUGACGGUACCACUAAAGGAAGCCCCGGCUAACUCCGUGCCAGCAGCCGCGGUAAUACGGGGGGGGCAAGCGUUGUUCGGAAUUACUGGGCGUAAAGGGCUCGUAGGCGGCCAACUAAGUCGGACGUGAAAUCCCCAGGCUCAACCUGGGAACUGCGUCCGAUACUGGAUGGCUUGAAUUCGGGAGAGGGAUGCAGAAUUCCAGGUGUAGCGGUGAAAUGCGUAGAUAUCUGGAGGAAUACCGGUGGCGAAGGCGGCAUCCUGGACCGACAUUGACGCUGAGGAGCGAAAGCUAGGGGAGCAAACGGGAUUAGAUACCCCGGUAGUCCUAGCCCUAAACGAUGAAUGCUUGGUGUGGCGGGUAUCGAUCCCUGCCGUGCCGAAGCUAACGCAUUAAGCAUUCCGCCUGGGGAGUACGGUCGC